rnacentral:rRNA from 1 species
AUACGGAGGAUCCGAGCGUUAUCCGGAUUUAUUGGGUUUAAAGGGUGCGCAGGCGGCCAUUUAAGUCAGCGGUUAAAUCGUGGGGCUCAACCCCAUUCUGCCGUUGAUACUGGGUGGCUUGAUUGCGGUCGAGGUUGGCGGAAUUCGUUGUGUAGCGGUGAAAUGCAUAGAUAUGACGAAGAACACCGAUUGCGUAGGCGGCUGACCAGAUCGCAAAUGACGCUCAUGCACGAAAGUGCGGGGAUCGAACAGGAUUAGAUACCCUGGUAGUCCGCACAGUAAACGAUGAAUACUUGUUUUCGGCGAUAUAAUGUCGGAGGCAAAGCGAAAGCGAUAAGUAUUCCACCUGGGGAGUACGCCGGCAACGGUGAGACUCAAAGGAAUUGACGGGG